rnacentral:lncRNA from 1 species
UUUAAUAAAUAUGAAUCAUUUUUAACCAUCUAGGAUAAACAUAAAAAGUGGAAAGUUUUAAACUAUGGCUGCAGACUUCUUUAUCAGUCUGCUCAGCAGACUACGGAUCGAAGUCUAGUCAAACCAGAAUAAUUAACCUAACCGGAAUUUUUAACAUAUAUAUAAAGAAACUUACCAGUCGUUACCAUAAAUAAAAAAACCUAAAUCACUGUAAAACGGCGCUGCACUCUGGUCUCUCUCGCCGCGACUCUCUCUCGCAGUAAGCCUUUCCCGGCGCUCCCCAUCUCUUCUUUUCUGUUUCUGAUGCAUAUGUUGUUUCAUAUAUAUCACUACAUAUGUUGUUGCUGCAGAUCUCAGCCGGCGUCUUCAUCGUUCUUAGUUAUCUCUCCAGAUCUGUGAGUUAUUCGCCAUUACAUUCUCUGUUUAGUCCGUAUCUUAUUGUUUACUGGUUUGUCCUUUAAAAUUGUUCUUUUGUUUUUUUUGUCCUUUUGCUUUACUGUUUUUUUAACAGAUCUAAGUAAAAAUACUUUUUUCACAGAUUCCGUGAGCAAGUAAGUAAAAAUAUUUCGAUUUUUUCUUUAUUUCAAGAUUUACCUUUUUUGUUAUUUUGUUGUUUAGCGAGUAAGAAAUAUUUGUUUGGAAAGCUUGUUUUUGUUGUUUUGUUUUUAGCUGCAAAGUUAUUAUGUGGUCGUAUCUGUUUUACUUUUUUGUUUGUUAACUUCCAAGUUUGUUUGCUUGAUCUCUACAUAGUAAUGCCGAUAAGCUACACCAACAACUCAUCUUCCAAAGCAAGUUAUGACAGCGGGUGUGCCAAAGCUGAUGGAGACUUUGGGAUACCUGAACGAUGCUAUUGCGGCCUUCGAUGUAGAUUGGAAGAGUCUACAGCUCCAGAGACGUUUGGCAGGAAGUUCUAUAGUUGCCCUGAAAUAUUAGGCGAAUGUGUAUAGUUUUAAUGAGGUUUUUCUCAAUAUGUGUAUAGUUUUAAUGUUAUUCAUCGAGUAUAAUUGAAGUUUUCGUUUGUCAUAUGUGUAGGAUAAACCGGGUCACAUCUCCAAUGGUGGGAUCUAGCUAUGAAGAGCAGCUGACC